UCCAGUGUUAGUGUUGUUAGUUAAAAAUACAGUGUCAGUUCAACACUUGUUUAGUUUAAUUCAACUACCUGAGAGUUAGUCCCUCAAAAGAGUUGGUGAUAAUACACAGAGGUACAUUUAAACAACUCUGUAAAGUGUUGAUUUUAAAAUCAACACUUAAUAGAGUAACUCCCAGCAUUCCAACGUAUCUGUGACGUGUUUGCCUAAAGAGCGGCUGCAGCGGAACACAGCUGUCUUUUCCCUUGUACUAAUGAGGAUCUUUGUGCGCUUAAAUGAAUGUCGGCACGUUUAAUUAAUAACACUUCUAUGCAAUAGUAUUUUAUUUGUGACAACAAUAGGUGUCGCUGAAACCUGUCUGCAGCUAACAUCGCGGCAAGUGCAUCAUGUUGGUUAAGGUGCGAUUUGGUGAAACACAGAAGUAUGUCAAAGUGGCUGAGACUGAAGAUGGCUAUGAUGAUUUCAACACAUUUCUUCAAAAAGUUAUUCAAAAGCUAGAUCUUCCACUUGAGACUGAGCUGCACCUGACAGAUGAAUCAGGGACAGAAGUUGAUGCAGAUGUGUUUGAGGAGCUCUUGCAGGCAGGGAACCUCACUGUUGGGGUGGCAUUGGAAAAGUCAACAGUUGUACUUCAGCAUGAUCUUUCAUAUACUUCGCUGGAGUCACCCAUGUCAGACAACUCAUCUGGGUCAGUGUCAGGAGUGUCCUCGCUAGCAUCCUCUGAUUCAUCAGAUGCAACAGUGAUUGUUCAUACAAACGGAGGGAGGAGAACCCAUGCUGAACGGAAUCAGCAAA